rnacentral:tRNA from 1 species
UCCCAAGUGGUCCAGUGAUUAGGACUGCACACUCUCACUGCUGUGGGCCUGGGUUCAAUCCCCAGUCAGGGAA